UACGGGGGGGGCAAGCGUUGUUCGGAAUUACUGGGCGUAAAGGGCUCGUAGGCGGCCAACUAAGUCCGACGUGAAAUCCCCAGGCUUAACCUGGGAACUGCGUCGGAUACUGGUUGGCUUGAAUUCGGGAGAGGGAUGUGGAAUUCCAGGUGUAGCGGUGAAAUGCGUAGAUAUCUGCAGGAACACCCGUGGCGAAAGCGGCGCGCUGGACCACUACUGACGCUGAGGAACGAAAGCUAGGGGAGCAAACAGG
rnacentral:rRNA from 1 species